GACGAAGGAUGCAAGCGUUAUCCGGAUUCAUUGGGUUUAAAGGGUGCGUAGGCGGCCAGAUAAGUCAGUGGUGAAAUCCUGUUGCUUAACAACAGAACUGCCAUUGAUACUGUUUGGCUUGAGUAUAGUUGCUGUGGGCGGAAUAUGACAUGUAGUGGUGAAAUACAUAGAGAUGUCAUAGAACACCGAUUGCGAAGGCAGCUCACAAAACUAUAACUGACGCUGAGGCACGAAGUGCGGGGAUCAAACAGG
rnacentral:rRNA from 1 species